CCUGUUUUUGUUUAGAGCCAAGUCCCCAGCCGCUCGAGUUUGCCGUGUCGAUAAUGAGAAAGCCAUGGCAUGAUGUCUCCUCUAUGUGUUUCCUUAUCUCAGUGUUGAACAUAAUUACCAGUUUCAGGGGCCUAAACAUUUUAUUUUAUUAAAGGUCUGGAUGAUCCUUGCCUGACUGCGGGUUUGUGUACACCUCAAUCCGACUCUGUGUCCUGAACAGAGGCCGCAGUGGUGCAGCGCUUGUGGACGAUCCAUCAACAUCCUGAAAGGUCAACACUACACCAAGCUGGGAAAAUUGAUCCUGAUAGUCAUCCCCAGGCCUGACCGUUUGUCCUUGAGCCGUAGAUGGUCAACAAUCCGCUAGCUGUCUUGCUCUGACUGGUGCACUGGACAUGAUUUCAAUAGUCAGCCAGACCAUGAUUGAGCUUAAGGAUUGUGCUGCGGAUGCAGCCUGUGCAGUUCCGAGAGAAAGUCACUGUCUUGGGCAAUGCGGUCUUGUAUCAGGAAAGCACUAUUGAAAGCCUCACGCUUUUGGGGGGUCUGAAGCCUUGUGCU